UACGAGGGGGGCAAAUGGUUGUUCGGAAUCACUGGGCGUAAAGGGAGCGUAGGCGGGUUCUUAAGUUAGGUGUUUAAUCCCGGGGGCCCAACCCCGGACCGGCACUUAAACAUGGAACUCGUUGAAUAGUGGAGAGGUCAGUGGAAUUGGAGGUGUAGCGGUGGAAUGCGUAGAGAUCUCCAAGAACACCAGUUGCGAAGGCGGCUGACCUGGACACAUAUUGACGCUGAGGCUCGAAAGCAUGGGGAGCAAACAGG
rnacentral:rRNA from 1 species